rnacentral:rRNA from 1 species
GAUGAACGCUGGCGGCGUGCCUAAUACAUGCAAGUCGAGCGAAAAGACGAGGAGCUUGCGCCUCUGACGUUAGCGGAGGACGGGUGAGUAACACGUGGAAAACCUACCUAUAAGACUGGGAUAACUUCGGGAAAGCGGAGCUAAUACCGGAGAAUAUAUUGAACCGCAUGGGGGAAUAGUGAAAGACGGUGUUGGGGUCAGGUAUAGAUGGAUCCGCGCCGCAUUAGCUAGUUGGUAAGGUAAAGGCUUACCAAGGCGACGAUGCGUAGCCGACCUGAGAGGCUGGUCGCCCGCCCUGGAGCUGAGCCGCCGUCCAGGCGCCUGCGGGAGGCCCCAGUAGCGUAUCUUCCGCAGUGGGCGGGAGCCUGGCGGAGCGACGCCACGUGUGUGAUGACAGUCUUCCGAUCGUAAAGCUCUGUUACGAGUUAAAAACCACUGUCUAAGUAGCCAUGCCCUUCGUGACGGUACCUAGUCAGAAAGCCCCGGCUAACUACGUG